AUUGAACGCUGGCGGCAGGCCUAACACAUGCAAGUCGAGCGCAGCGGCGCACGGGAUAGUAACGCGUGGGAACCUACCUUUCGGUUCGGAAUAACAUCGGGAAACUGGUGCUAAUACCGGAUACCGAUAGAUGGGCCCGCGUUGGAUUAGCUAGUUGGUGAGGUAACGGCUCACCAAGGCAACGAUCCAUAGCUGGUCUGAGAGGAUGAUCAGCAUCACUGGGACUGAGACACGGCCCAGACUCCUACGGGAGGCAGCAGUGGGGAAUAUUGGACAAUGGGGGCAACCCUGAUCCAGCCAUGCCGCGUGAAUGAUGAAGGCCUUCGGGUUGUAAAGUUCUUUUGGUGGGGACGCGGUACCCACAGAAUAAGCUCCGGCUAACUUCGUGCCAGCAGCCGCGGUAAUUC
rnacentral:rRNA from 1 species